rnacentral:lncRNA from 1 species
UUUCCUUGACACACCCCCAUCUCCCACCUCCUAUCGCUGCUGCCCCCUUACCCCUAAUCUCCACCGUGAGCCCAGAUGGAGAUUUUAGUGCCAAAACAGUUCUUGAUACCAUUUUGUACAUAUCUUCUACAGUUUGGGGCUGUUGGGAUUGGAGGUGGGGGCCGGCCCACAGGGCCAUUGCUCCCCUCCACCUCUUAAAGGACCUUACAGUAUUUCAUGUAGCUCCACCUGCAUGUAGGUAGUAAAGUAUCUAGCUGGAAUCCCCUCUCACCCUCCCACCCCCCAUAAAACCCUCAGGCCCCAUGAGGAGGGGAAGGAACAGGGAUGAAGCAAGGUCCAGGAUGGGUAGGUGGGAUAGAAACACCGUUUGUCAAUCAUCUGUGUCCUCCCUGGAGCAGCCUGCUUUCCACGAGCCCAUUGGCUGGAGUCUGGGUCCACACCCUGCGUGACAUUCCCGUGUUCUCAGGGAUCCGUUACCCCACCAGCCAGGGCUAUCUGAAAGGUAGUUUGCUAGCUUAGUAAACUGGUCCACUCACCAUGUUGGUGAGGAGCCACACACCUCCCCACCCCCAUUUUACCCCAGGAAAUUCCAUCAUCUUCCCUGUCCCUUGAAAAUCCCUUCUGAAAUCUAACCUCAGUCUUUUCUGUGCUGUAGUUGGUCCAGAAGGGAUACGUAAUGCAGGCCACGGGGGAGAAUUAUUUUAAAAUAAUAGUAAUAACAAAGUUCAUUCCCUUCCUCCCCGCCCCCCACUGCCCGUUAGCCAAUCAGAUCGCAAAGGAUCUGACCGGCCUCCUUGCAUCCUGCUUCGGCACCAGUAUAGGUGUUUAAGUUAGUAAGUAUUGCCUGCAUUGAAUUGUCUCAUCUACCCUCCAGCUUCCGAUACCCCCGCCCCCGCAUUCUCCUCUCUAAAUCAUUUCUCUGCCUCCCUAAGGCCCACUGGGUUUUCCUCUCGUGGUUGCCCCUCCCCCACGGUUCUCUGUCCUGUCUCUACCUUUGUCUGUAUUCUUCCCUUCCUGAAUUCUCGACUCUUUCAUUCCCCCCUUUAAAAGCAAAAAGUGCCAAACUUCCUCGGAACUGAGCCGAUCUGGGGGGGGGGGGGGCAGGAUCUUAGAUAGAGGGGAGGAACCACCUCUCUUAGAGGGGAGGCCCCUUAAGAGGCAAAGAAAACACUUUCGGACGCUGAGCUAAAUUGGAUCCCCUUCCUCGUUCCUCUCACCCUGAGUUUUUUCUUAGAAUCUUUAUAAGAAAAAAAGAAAAA